AUGACUCAUGAUUCUUUCACUUUGACCUCCGUUCGACCUGUCGAGUCUCCUGUUCGUGUUCUUACGGCUGAUGGCACUCCCCUCCCUGUAGCUAGUCGAGGCACCCUUAGCACUUCUUCAUUUCAUGUUCCCUCUGUCACUCAUGUUCCUCGGCUUACCAUGCAACUGAUAUCCGGUGGUCAGAUUGUUGACUCUAGUUGUAUGGUCAUUCUUGACUUUGAUUCGUGUUCUGUUCAGGAUCGUCGCACAGGUGCUCUGCUUGGUGCUGGCCCUCAACGCUCCGAUGGUCUUGGGAGCUUGACUGGCUUCGUCUUCCCUCCGUUGCCACCGCCGCCAGUCUCGCAGCCCCUAUAG
rnacentral:rRNA from 1 species